CACGUAGGGGGCAAGCGUUGUCCGGAUUUAUUGGGCGUAAAGAGCUCGUAGGCGGUUCGAUAAGUCGGGUGUGAAAACUCUGGGCUCAACUCAGAGACGCCACCCGAUACUGUCGUGACUGGAGUCUGGUAGGGGAGUGUGGAAUUCCCGGUGUAGCGGUGAAAUGCGCAGAUAUCAGGAGGAACACCGGUGGCGAAGGCGGCUUUCUGGACAGAUACCGACGCUGAGGCACGAAAGCUAGGGGAGCAAACAGG
rnacentral:rRNA from 1 species